UAUCCUCAUAGUCUGCAAAAUAUGGGCACAUACAGGUGACAUUAGAGCGUUCCAGUGCACUGCAGCAUUGCGAAGAUGGUGGAACCGUUGCCCCUUCCCGUUCGAUGUAUCUACCACAUUGCAUAUAAACUCCGAACACAUUACGACAUUCCAAUUGUGCUGAAAUCAAUGGCCCCAUCGCCAUCAUCAUCACCACAAUCCCACACAUCAUCAACAUCAUUCUUGCAUCUGCAAAAACUCUCUUUCCCAUCUUCGAAGUUACCAUCAUCACCGUCGAU
rnacentral:lncRNA from 1 species